rnacentral:lncRNA from 1 species
AAUUCCUAAGUUUUCCAGAACUUAUCUCAUCUUUGAUAAGCUUUGAUUUCUAUCUUCAAUCGCAAGUCCCGAUUCUGUCCGUUGCAUUAAUUAAAGCAUAAGCGGUUCUGUCAAUACGACACUGUCAACACGAUCUUCGUGGGGAGGUAAUUUCCUAAAAGUGGUUGAGCUAGGCUAGAGUAGUGCCCAGAUUGCUCCCAAUACUUGGAAAUUACCAUACCCUAGGUUUGAUUGAAACUGAACCAUAGCUAUGGCUAUUUGACAUGAUAAAUACUUUCGUCAAUCCUCACCAAUUAUCACCC